rnacentral:rRNA from 1 species
UAACACGUAGGGGGCAAGCGUUGUCCGGAUUUAUUGGGCGUAAAGAGCUCGUAGGUGGUUCGGUAAGUCAGGUGUGAAACCUCCAGGCUCAACCUGGAGACGCCACUUGAUACUGCUGUGACUGGAGUCCGGUAGGGGAGCGUGGAAUUCCUGGUGUAGCGGUGAAAUGCGCAGAUAUCAGGAGGAACACCAGCGGCGAAGGCGGCGCUCUGGGCCGGUACUGACACUGAGGAGCGAAAGCGUGGGUAGCAAACAGGAUUAGAUACCCUGGUAGUCCACGCCGUAAACGUUGGGCACUAGGUGUGGGUCUCAACCAACGGGAUCUGUGCCGUAGCUAACGCAUUAAGUGCCCCGCCUGGGGAGUACGGCCGCAAGGCUA